GCAUGACUUAGCUUGCUAAGUUUGAUGGCGACCGGCGCACGGGUGAGUAACACGUAUCCCCAUUUACGAUGACUCGGGGAUAGCCUUUCGAAAGAAAGAUUCCUUCCCGAUGGCAUAGUUCUUCCGCAUGGUAGAACUAUUAAAGAAUUUCGGUCAUCGAUGGGGAUGCGUUCCAUUAGGUUGUUGGCGGGGUAACGGCCCACCAAGCCUUCGAUGGAUAGGGGUUCUGAGAGGAAGGUCCCCCACAUUGGAACUGAGACACGGUCCAAACUCCUACGGGAGGCAGCAGUGAGGAAUAUUGGUCAAUGGACGAGAGUCUGAACCAGCCAAGUAGCGUGAAGGAUGACUGCCCUAUGGGUUGUAAACUUCUUUUAUACGGGAAUAAAGUGAGGCACGUGUGCCUUUUUGUAUGUACCGUAUGAAUAAGGAUCGGCUAACUCCGUGCCAGCAGCCGCGGUAAUACGGAGGAUCCGAGCGUUAUCCGGAUUUAUUGGGUUUAAAGGGAGCGUAGGCGGACGCUUAAGUCAGUUGUGAAAGUUUGCGGCUCAACCGUAAAAUUGCAGUUGAUACUGGGUGUCUUGAGUACAGUAGAGGCAGGCGGAAUUCGUGGUGUAGCGGUGAAAUGCUUAGAUAUCACGAAGAACUCCGAUUG
rnacentral:rRNA from 1 species